AGUGAACGCUGGCGGCGUGCCUAAUACAUGCAAGUCGAACGCGAAAGUCCUUCGGGAUGAGUAAAGUGGCGCACGGGUGAGUAAUACAUGGGAACAUGCCCUUGGAUGGGGAAUAACGUUUGGAAACGAACGCUAAUGCCGCAUAAUCUCGCGAGAGUAAAGGUGGCGCCGCAAGGGCUACCGUCCAAGGAUUGGCCCAUGUCCCAUUAGCUAGUUGGCGGGGUAAUGGCCCACCAAGGCAACGAUGGGUAUGUGGUCUGAGAGGAUGAUCACACACACUGGAACUGAGACACGGUCCAGACUCCUACGGGAGGCAGCAGUAGGGAAUAUUGCACAAUGGGGGAAACCCUGAUGCAGCAACGCCGCGUGAGUGAAGAAGGCCCUUGGGUUGUAAAGCUCUUUAGCGUGGGAAGAAGGUAGAUACGGUGAAUAAUCGUGUUUGCUGACGGUACCACGAGAAUAAGCACCGGCUAAUUUCGUGCCAGCCGCCGCCGUAA
rnacentral:rRNA from 1 species